CGGGGUGUGGCGCAGCCUGGUAGCGCACCUGCCUUGGGAGCAGGGGGUCGGAGGUUCGAAUCCUCUCACCCCGACCA
rnacentral:tRNA from 1 species